rnacentral:rRNA from 1 species
GAUGAACGCUGGCGGCGUGCCUAAUACAUGCAAGUCGAGCGAACAGACGAGGAGCUUGCUCCUCUGAUGUUAGCGGCGGACGGGUGAGUAACACGUGGAUAACCUACCUAUAAGACUGGGAUAACUUCGGGAAACCGGAGCUAAUACCGGAUAACAUGUUGAACCGCAUGGUUCAACAGUGAAAGACGGUCUUGCUGUCACUUAUAGAUGGAUCCGCGCCGCAUUAGCUAGUUGGUAAGGUAACGGCUUACCAAGGCAACGAUGCGUAGCCGACCUGAGAGGGUGAUCGGCCACACUAGAACUGAGACACGGUCCAGACUCCUACGGGAGGCAGCAGUAGGGAAUCUUCCGCAAAGGGCGAAAGCCUGACGGAGCAACGCCGCGUGAGUGAAGAAGGUCUUCGGAUCGUAAAACUCUGUUAUUAGGGAAGAACAAAUGUGUAAGUAACUAUGCACGUCUUGACGGUACCUAAUCAGAAAGCCACGGCUAACUACGUG